UAGCCGUAAACGAUACUCGCUAGGUGUCGGCCACGGUGCGACCGUUGUCGGUGCCGUAGGGAAGCCGUGAAGCGAGCCACCUGGGAAGUACGGCCGCAAGGCUGAAACUUAAAGGAAUUGGCGGGGGGAGCACCACAACGGGUGGAGCUUGCGGUUUAAUUGGAUUCAACGCCGGAAAUCUUACCGGGACCGACAGCAACAUGAAGGCCAGGCUGAAGACUUUGCCGGAUUAGCUGAGAGGUGGUGCAUGGCGUAGUCGUG
rnacentral:rRNA from 1 species